CUGGGCCCAUUGGGCUUGGGAU
rnacentral:snRNA from 1 species